CCUCCUAGGAAAAAAUGAAAUGUGGUUUUUGUGUUUGAAUAGAUUCCAUUAUACACAAUAUUGUCAGGUUAGUGGGGUGUGGAUUGAAUAGUUGGGGUUUUAAAACUCCUGGAGCCUUAAUAAUUCAACAUACUUUUUAGAUAUGUUCAUCUGAGAAGAAAACUAAAGAGACACUGUGAAAAAUCAGCACAUAUAGCUCCCAUGUUAUGUUACACAUAUCCAAAUUGUGAAAUUUUCUUUUGAAUAUCACUAUGCAACUUUGGGUUGUAUGCUCUUUUAAUUUGGCUUGCACUUCUAUAGCAUGGGGGAAAAAAGGAUUUUUCGUUCCAAAUAUUCCACUACAACUGUUUCAGACUCAUCAUUUUGAAACCAGAUUUAAAAGGUUAAAUUGAGCUCAGGGAAAAGAUGAUAAUUAAAAAGCUAACUUCUAUUUCUCUUAAAUUCAACAUAUCAUGCUUUCAACAAAUUUUCACACAAAUAAGUAAGAAUAUCUAAUGUUUGAUGUAAAGUGGCCACAAAUUAUACUGGGAACUAUUUCCAUAUUUUUAAAAAUAAAUGUUAGUAUUAUAAAGAGAAAAGAAACAUUUUUCUUAAAUUACAGUCUGAAACAUUUUAAAUUUAUUCUAUAUGAUUGAUUAUCCUGUCCUAUAUGUCAGAACAUAAAUAAAAAUAUCCAAUAUAUGUUGUUUUCAUUAUCUUCGAGAUGAUAGGGAACAUACUUACUAUCCUGUAGCUCUGAUACUAUACAAUUAAUUUAGCCAAAAUUGAUCAUGUAACGACAAUAACAAAAGAUGAUUUCAUUGCUGAGUCUUAACACUUAAAAAUGUGUAGCAGAAAUGUGAAUACCUUAAGCAAGUUUCAAACUUCUGUUUUUAGUCAAGGAAAAAUGCAGAAAUCCUUUCUCGUCCUGCAAAGCACAUCUUGUUCUUUUUUAGUCCUUUAUCAUGUAUAUUCCAAGUAAGCUUCUAUUCAAAAGAAAUAAUUUAAAAGAAAUCUCUAAAUAUGAAAUCCCCCAUGUGAUUGGAAGAGAAAAAAAUACCAAAAAUAAAGUUUUUAAAAGUUUCUCUAUGCAGUGUUUUGUCAUCAAAGACCAUGAUAUUAACAAGAAAUUAAUUUCCCCUUCUAGACCGCAAAUAGCCCUGGAUCCACAUAGUUGGAUAAAAAUUCUGAUUCUCACAAGAUACUGGGAAUUUAUGCAGAACAGUAUGAUCUAUGUUCAUCAGGUGGAGUGCUUUUCUUUGUGAUGGGAAUAGGAAUGAGAAUUGAGAGGGUUUGAAAUUAAGAAAAUGAAAUCGGUCAUGUGGCAAAUAUAUGACAAAUGAUAUGAAGUAUGGGUUAAGUGUGUAUAACUGGCCUAUGGAUGAGCUGUCUUUUUCGGAAUACAUAAGUGAAAAGUCAUUUGUAAGCCAAUAUUUUUGGUCCUAGAAGAAUUCCAAGUUUACCUGAUAAUCAGUUUUAAGGUUUCAGGGUACAUAUGGUAAGCCCAAACUAGCGGCCCUCCCUUAUUCUAAUCACAUUUAAAGUCAGCUGUGGGAGGCUGCCACCCUUGAAUGGUUUAUAAUCAGCUUGAGACAUGAAACUGACUCAUUUCUGGAAAUGUGGGGGCUGUUCUUUCACUCUCUUCAGUACAUGAAUGCCACCAUAAAAUAAGAUUAAAAGUUCUGGAGUUCCCUGGCUGCUUCUCUUUCCUAUUUGUUAUCUUUUCAUGGUAUGUGGGCUAAUACUGUAUUUGUGUUUUCUUUUCUUCAAAUUAUCUUACAAUUUUGCAUUGGAUAGUCUGUUUUGCUAUACUUCUAAAAUAGGACAUAUUUUCCCAUUAUGCUAUAUUUUUAUCAUGUUAUUUUUAAAAAAUGAAUACCUUAAAUAUAAAUAGGUAUAAUAUUUAAACUCAUUAGAGUUAUAAUAUCUUUCCUGGUGCCUACUCCAUUCAAUGCCAGCUCUUGGAAGAUUACUUGUGAGCUUCUUUCACACUGUCUAAAGGUAGCUGUAAACUUGUCCUCUAAAAUACUAUUAUUAGGGAAUCACACUGCAAUUAUAGACUUUCUUCCUAAAGCUUCUGAACUUCAAGCCAUGAUGUUUUAUUUUCUUCUUUUAAAAAUGUCUUGGUCUCCUAAAUUAUGGACACAUAUCUUCUAAGAUCUUAUAGACAUUCACCUAAGUCCUUGAUCUCUUGCAUUUUGAGACAUCUUACUCAAGUUUUAAAGGAGGAAAAGGCUUAAUGUACUCAAUAAACUCUCAAAUUGAUUAGAAAAAUUAAAUACAUGUAUUUAAUUUUGAUGGUUUAUACAUAUAUUUGAUUAGAAAAACUAAAUAUGUGUAUAUAUAUAACUAAAUGUGUAUAUAUAUGUAUAUAUAUAACUAAAUAUGUGCAUAUAUAUAUAUAUAUAUAUAUAAACUAGAGAGAGACUAAGAGAAAAAGAAGCAGACAAAGAGAUAGAAAGGUGACAUAAAAUAUGAUUUGCUAAAAAUUUGCAAAUCAGUAAAUCUUGUAAAAUACCUAGGAGCUUUCUGUACUAUUAUUGCAGCACUUCUGUGAAUUUGAAGUUAUUUCAAAAUGAAAAAUAUAUUAUUUCAAUAAUAGUACUUACAAUUAUGUAGCAAACAAUAUAAUAGUUAAUGAAGCAAAUAAUACUAUGAUGACAACCAUAUACUAAAACUAAAAAAUACAACAUGAAAUGAGACAAUAAUUGGUUUGUAGGGGACUUACACUAAAUUCCUUUGCUUUUAUAUCAAGGAUUUAAUAAAUCAUUAUUUUAUAUCAAGACCUAGAGUGAUCAAAGUCUGUUUGGUGAGGUGAGAAGGAUGAGAACAAAAUGGUCAGUAUUGGUGGAAGUGGGUGGUUUGCAGAGAAGUAGGAGGAGAGUUACUUUAUUUUUUUAUUUGUAUACUUAAUUUUUAUUGAGAUAGCACUGAUUUAUAACAUUGUUUCAUGUAUAUAACAUUAUAUUCCUACUCUUGUAUACAGUACACUGUGCUCACCACCAAAAUUUUAGUUUCCAUCUGUCACCCUACAGUAGAGAGCCUUUACCCAUUUUGCCCUCCCCACCCCUUUCCCUUUGGUGAUCACUACUCUAUUUUCUGUAUCUAUGCAUUGUUUUUGUUGGUUUUUGGUUUGGGGGUGGUUUUUACUAUAUUCCAUAUAUGAAGGAAUCAUAAGGUAUUUCUGCAUCUGAUUUAUUUCAGAGAGCAUGAUAUCUUCAAGGUCUAAUCAUGUUGCCACAAAUGGUAAGAUCUUGUCUUUUUAUGACUGACUAGUAUUCCAAUGUGUAUGUGCUGUGUGUGUGUGUGUGUGUGUGUGUGUGUGUGAUACAUCUUCUUUAUCUUUCCAUCUAUUUAUGAGUACUUAGGUUGUUUCCUUAUUUUGGCUAUUUAAAUAAUGCUGUGAUAAAUAUAGGGUUGCAUAUAUCUUCUUGAAUUAGUAUUUCUGUAUACUCUGCAUAAAUAUCCAGAAGUGAAAUAGCUGAAUCAUAUGGUAGUUCUAUUCUUAAUUUUUUUGAGGAAUCUCCAUACUGUUUUCUGUAGUGGCUACACCAACUUACAUUCCCACCAACAGUGUAUGAGGAUCUCCUUUUGAAGAUUUUACUUUCUUACUUUAAAUAAAUAAGUCAUUGGCAACACACACACACACACACACAAUUGUAGAUGCAGAGAGUUCCCCUAUGGCAUAGUGGAAACAAAUCCGACUAGGAACCAUGAGGUUGCGGGUUCAAUCCCUGGCCUCACUCAGUGGGUUAAGGAUCUGGCAUUGCUGUGAGCUGUGGUAUAGGUCACAGAUGUGGCUCAGAUCUGGCGCUGCUGUGGCUCUGGUGUAGGCCGGCGGCAACAGCUCCGAUUAGACCCCUAGCCUGGGAACCUCCAUAUGCCACGGGAGUGGCCCUAAAGAAAAAAAAAAUUGCAGAUGCAGAUAAUGGUAUAUAAUCAAUAACAAGACAGUAAUGCAAUGAGGAGUUAUAAAGCAAGCAAGUGAGAAAAACAGAAAAGACAAGAUAUAUGCAUAGCACCAGAGACUCUUAAAAAGAAAACCUGAAGUAACUGACUCUGUCAGCUUAAGCUGCUUUCACAAUAAGAGCUGAUUCCGACUGAGUAAGAGCUGAUUCCAACUGAGUCCAACCUGUAGACCUAGAAGGUUCACAGGAAAUAAAAAUUAGAAAACUCAGUCUGGCUUGGUAGAAUGCGGGAAUGGUAUCCAAUAGAGUGUUUAGUAAGGGUUUGUCUAAAUAACCCUUUUAUUUUGAAAUAGUUUCAGAUUUACUGAAAAGCCUCAGAAGUAGUACAGAGAAUCCCAUAUAGCACUUACCAUUUCUCCUAUUAUAAAUAUAUUUGUAUGUACAUUUGUCACACAAAUAUUGAUACAUUAUUAUUAACUAAUGUCCACAUUUUAUUUAGAUUUCCUUAGUGGUAACCAAAUAUUCACUUCUGUUCCACAGUCCCAUUCAAAAUAUUACAUUAAUUUAGCUGUCAGUUCUCCUUAAGCUCCUCUUGGCUGUGAUAAUUACCCAGACUUUCCUUGUUUCUGAUGACCCAGACAGACUGUAGGAGUACUGAUAAAGUAUUUUGUUUAAUGUCCUCCUACUGAUAUUUACCUGAUGUUUUUCUCACCACUACAUUGGUGUUAUGUUUGUUGGAGAGAGAGAUCACAGAGAUAAAGUGCCAUUCUCAUCACAUCACGUCAAGAAUAUAUAUUAUCAAUAUGGCUUGUCACUGUUGUUAUUAAUCUUGAUCAUCUGGUUGAGGUACUGUGUCAGCUUUAUCCACUGUAAAGUUACUAUUUCCCCCCUUUUCAAACUACACAAUUUUGGAAGUCCUUAUAUAUAGACCACAUUUAAGAAGUGAGGAGUUAUGCUUAAGGAUAGCAUAUCCAAAUCAAUUAUUUUAAAUUCUACUGCACAGGAAAUGUGUCUGUUCUCUCCCAUUUGUUUAUUGACUUAAUUAUGUAUUUAUCAGUAUGGACUCGUGGAUAUGUAUAUCUUAUACUUUGGGUUAUAAUUCAAUAUUAUACUUUUUUGUUGCUCAAACCAUUCCACCUUUGGCUACUGAGAUGUCUUUCACUUGGAGCUUCUUUGUUCCUUUGACAUACUCUCAUCAGUGUGAGCAUACUCUCAUCAGUGUGAGCACUUUCUCACUUUCUGACACUACAAAGUUCUCUUAGUUUACCUUGUAUAUUUUCUGUCCCACCCCUAGAAUCAGCCAUUUAUCUAGGGAGCCUCAGUUCCUUUAAUUGGAGAAUGGUUCUAGACACCAAGAUGUGAGUCUAAGUGUACUUAUUGCUGCUGAGUGUCCUUGCUUCUAGGCUCUCUCAGCUAAAAGAAUAAGAAAAUAUGUGGAUAUAUGUUAACCUUUGUAUACAGACAUACCUUGGAGAUACUGCAAUUUUGGUUUCAAAACACCACAUUAAAGCAUACUUUAUAGUACUAUGAGUCAUAUGAAUUUUGUGUUCCCACUGCACAUAAAAGUUAUGUUUAUACUGUGCUUAUAGUCUAUUAAAUGUGCAAUAACAUUGUCUAAAGAACUAGAUAUAUGGUAGAUAGAUAGAUAGAUAGAUAGAUAGAUAAACUUUAAUGAAAAAAACAUUUUAUUGCUGAAAUACGUUAACUAUCACCUGAGCCUUCAGCAAGUCUUGGUAGUAGCAUCAAAGGUCACUGAUUACAGAUCACCAUAACAAAUAUAAUAAUAAUGAAAAAGUUUGAAAUAUUGUGAGAGUUAUCAAAAUGUGACACAGAGACAUGAAGUGAGCAAAUGCUGUUGGAAAAAACAGUGCCCACAGACUUGCUCGAUACAGGGUUGCCACAAACCUUCAACUUGUAAAAAAACAAUAUCUGUGAAGCACAGUAAAGUGAAGCAUAAUGAAACAAGGUAUGCCUGUAUCUAUAAAUAUUUCCAUAUGUAUCCAUCCAAAUCUAUAGUAAAAUUAAAAAAUGAGCUUAGGAGUUCCAGUCGUGGCUCAGUGGUUAACGAAUCCGACUAAGAACCAUGAGGUUUUGGGUUCGAUCCCUGGCCUUGCUCAGUGGGUUAACAAUCUGGCGUUGCCAUGAGCUGUGGUGUAGGUUGCAGACGAGGCUUGGAUCCUGCGUUGCUGUGGUCCUGGCGUAGGACGGUGGCUACAGCUCCGAUUUGACUCCUAGCCUGGGAACCUCCAUAUGCCACAGGAGAGGCCCAAGAAAUG
rnacentral:lncRNA from 1 species